rnacentral:lncRNA from 1 species
GGUAUUUGUCCUUCCCCUUCAAAGCGAUUUGCUAGUGGAAGUUGGGAGCCUCAUCAAAGAAGGCUUCGCAAGUGGAUGUAGGUCAUUUGACCAAACCACUUUAAAUUGGUGUGUUCCUUGAAUGUGUGAGUGUUUACCAUUCUGAAACCGUUAUUUACAGUAAGCUUUUGGUUUUCAUCUCCUUACUUUACUCGAGCUACUUUUAC